UGAUCGGUAUCGUGUUACGAUUGAAUAGUGACGUAGACAUAGUGAAGACAUAGUGGCAUGGCUUAGUGAAGUGGAUUAUUAUUUGCAAAGAUUUUUGGUAUAGUGAUAUCUCACUUCGACUUCCCCUGAAUUUUGAAAAAGGAAACCUCGGCUGCCUUACGAUUGAGACAGACUCCUGUUAAUCUGAAUAAGGGAAUUUUUCUCGUGCUUCUAUCGUUAUUCAGUCAUCUCAUCUGCUAUUGCCUGGAUACUUGGUGUGUCGAGAAAAUCCACAUAAAAAUGUACGGAUUUUUAUAAGAUUUACUAUGCAAAAAUCGACAAACACCAAGUUAAUGCCAAUGAGCAAUGGAGGCCGACUUCCGUAAUUAUCUGCUGGUGUUAUUCUAAUUGCAUCAAGGAUAAAAGUGGAUCACGAGAUGCAUUGCGCUUGUACGGGACGGUUACAAAUGAUUCUUGGUUCUUUCAUUACAAGUAUAUAUACUGCCAGCUGCUCUCCGAGGAACCUGACCAGAUAAGUUACAUAAGGAUCUGUUCCUGAAAUCCCAAGUUUCAAGCUUCAACUUGUUUGCUCUUCCUGAGCAGUUCGGAAAGUUUCUUCAGAAAAUCCAGUCCAGAUCCCAAAGGAAUCGAAUUUAACACGGAGAUCAAUAUCGAUGGUCAAGAUAUCUUGCCUACACGUUUUAUGCCAAUACCUUCAAAAUUCAAAGUGUACAUCAUCGAUGGAGUUGAAAAUCGUAUGGAGAUAUUGACAGCUUUUAUAAGGAAAACUAUAUUUAGCAGCAAUGUCACUCAAAACGAACUUUUUAGGGAUGCAGUUAAAUCUGAUAUUGAUCCUGAGAGAAUUUGAGGCCAUCCUCCGAAACUGAAGGACUUCUGCACAAUCCAGGCUGUCAUGGAUGAUGCACUGAUGCUCCACCAAUCUGCUCACUUCAUGCGUGGGAAGUCUAACCGUGAACUACCCGAGUGGAUAUUAUCAUCGUCACCAAUAAUCAUGAUGAUUCUAUAUGCUGCUUCUUGUAGAAGACAAUGCACCCACGAAUUUGGACAGUGCUCUCUGCAUUGGAAAACGUAUUUUAUGAAAGUACUCCAGAAGUGACCGCGCAAAGCAUCUCUUCUAAAUCGGUAAUAUUUUAAAUGGGAUUGUAGGACGAUUGUGAACAGUUUGACUACUUUUGUAAUAACAAUUUCUCAAAUAUGGGCUAGAAACUGCAUUUUUCAAGGCUACAUGAAAUAAAACUGAAUUAUAUUUACUUCUGCUAAUUUAUUCGUUGUCAAUACAAUCAGAAACUCAUUAACAUAACUCUUCCUAUUGUAACGUUACCAUG